ACGUGCAUAUCACGUUGAAACACUGGUUCUCGUACGAUCGCCAAAGUUAAGCAUCGUCGAGUCUGCCAGUACCUAGAUGGGUGACCGUUUGUGAAUACCUGGUGCU